AACGAACGCUGGCGGCAUGCCUAACACAUGCAAGUCGAACGAGACCUUCGGGUCUAGUGGCGCACGGGUGCGUAACGCGUGGGAACCUGCCCUUAGGUUCGGAAUAACUCCCCGAAAGGGGUGCUAAUACCGGAUAAUGUCUCGGACCAAAGAUUUAUCGCCUUUGGAUGGGGCCGGGUUGGAUUAGCUAGUUGGUAGGGUAAAAGCCUACCAAGGCGACGAUUCAUAGCUGGUUUGAGAGGAUGAUCAGCCACACUGGGACUGAGACACGGCCCAGACUCCUACGGGAGGCAGCAGUGGGGAAUAUUGGACAAUGGGCGAAAGCCUGAUCCAGCAAUGCCGCGUGAGUGAUGAAGGCCUUAGGGUUGUAAAGCUCUUUUACCCGGGAUGAUAAUGACAGUACCGGGAGAAUAAGCUCCGGCUAACUCCGUG
rnacentral:rRNA from 1 species